GAUGAACGCUGGCGGCGUGCCUAAUACAUGCAAGUCGAGCGAAUGGAUUAAGAGCUUGCUCUUAUGAAGUUAGCGGCGGACGGGUGAGUAACACGUGGGUAACCUGCCCAUAAGACUGGGAUAACUCCGGGAAACCGGGGCCAAUACCGGACAACAUUUUGAACCGCAUGGUUCGAAAUUGAAAGGCGGCUGCGGCUGUCACUUAUGGAUGGACCCGCGUCGCAUUAGCUAGUUGGUGAGGUAACGGAUCACCAAGGCAACGAUGCGUAGCCGACCUGAGAGGGUGAUCGGCCACACUGGGACUGAGACACGGCCCAGACUCCUACGGGAGGCAGCAGUAGGGAAUCUUCCGCAAUGGACGAAAGUCUGACGGAGCAACGCCGCGUGAGUGAUGAAGGCUUUCGGGUCGUAAAACUCUGUUGUUAGGGAAGAACAAGUGCUAGUUGAAUAAGCUGGCACCUUGACGGUACCUAACCAGAAAGCCACGGCUAACUACGUGCCAGCCGCCGCAGUAA
rnacentral:rRNA from 1 species